UGUACGGUCUCCGUCCCUCAACUCCCAAAACCCCUGGAAAACCCUAUAAAAUUCCAAAAUUCUCAAUCCCCUCUUCGAUCUCAAGCAACAAUAUCCAACUGAAAUUUUCGUCUACUUACUGUUCUAGAUUGUAUCAACACCGCGAAGCUCUUCGAAGAGCUAUCCAUGUUGUGAACUACCCUGUGGCAAUGGAUAUUAGAGAACUUGUAUCUUUGGAUGAUGUUAUGGAGGAGCUCGGGUUCGGGCCUAAUGGGGGCUUAACUUACUGUAUGGAUCACCCUUCGUUUGGCUAGUAUGUGUCAUCAUAAUCUCUUGAUUUUAAACACUAAUAGCUGAUCGAAACCAAUGUUUAAAAGAACUCGUUACGAUGCUCGUUUGUUUGCGUUAUGUGACCUAACAUGCCUUAACAUUAUGCAACCUUAUAAAAUAACUCAGACACAUCAUAACUCUACGUUAUUACAGUAUAAUACGCAUUAUUUCAAUAUAACUUACGCUACUUCAGUAUAACAUGCGUUAUUUCAAUAUAGCUUAUGCUAUUUCAAUAUAAGUUGUAGAGACUUGAGAGUAUAUCCUUCUUAAAACUUGAAGUAGUUAAGUAAUUACUAUUAAACUGUUUGUUAAAUCCUCAUGUCUUGUUGUGCUGACAUCAUUAUGUGAUUGUGAAAUUUUGAAUGUGAUUGAUAAAACGAUUGCAAUUAUGAACGAGCUACAACUUUAUGAUUAUAUAUCUGAGUAUCAGAUUGUGAUACUUCCAAGUAAAUCUAUAUAGCUUGUAUCAAAUUAAAGAUUUUUAUUAAAAUAUUUUUGUAUUAUAAUAUUUUGUCCCUAAUUCUUAAAAUUGUGAUGAAUAUCUUUUAUUGUUUUUUAAAUUAACAGUAAGAAAAUAUUAUGUUCCUAAUUGAGAUUUUAUGUUUGAAAAUUUUAAUGAUUCCAAGUAUUAAAGUCAUUAGGAAUAGUUCCUAUUUAUAAAAUAUGUAGAUAAUUAAUAAAGAAUUAACCUACUUUAUGCGUUACGUUUUUCUUGCCUGUUUUUUCCCUAACCCUUAAAGGAGGUAGAGCGUUUUGUUAUUCGUUGUCGUUAUUUUCAACAUUGACCAAAACAAACAUAUUUUCUGCCUGAAAUCAUUGAGGCUGUUAUUGUUAAGUAUGUAAGUGAUAUAGUUUUCGAGGCAACAAAAUAUAAAAUGGUACCAUGAUGAAGUAUUGGGUGCAAAUCUUCCUUGAGAUGUUUUCAGACACCUUCAGGAGAGCUUGGACGAUUGGCUGGAAGAUGAACUGGCAUGGAGAAUUAUUUGGAAGACGAUUGUCUUGUAUUUGAUUGUUCAGGUCAGAUAGAGCUACUUUCACACGUUCCUGUUCUUCGCAACGUUGGGGAACAUCUACAGUGGAGGAACUUCAAAGUGUGUUGUGUUUAUCUCCUUGAUUCUCAGUGGUUGCAUGGCAUCCCUUUCAGCAAUGAUUCAACUUGAACUCCCUCGUGUCAAUACUCUUUCGAAAAUUGAUAUUGUGACAAACAAAAAAGAUAUUGAAGAUUUCUUAAAUCCAGAGGCACCCAUUUUGUUGUCACAGUUGAAUCAGAAUAUUCCUGUUCCAUUUGCGAAGCUUAAUAAAGCUUUGACAGACUUGGUUGGUCAGUUUAACAUGGUGAAUUUUGAGCCCCUCGAUUUAAGAAAGGAAAGAAGGUAUAUAUCAAGAGCCGUUCGCUGUGAACUAUGAGAUCAAUUUGUAAUCUUAGUAAGCUAGACAAUACUGCACUACUGCAGUUUUGCAUCUGCUAUAUCUUUGGCAGCAUGUAUUUUUGCACACACGCGAACUUGUGAGUACAUAAACUCGUAAAAAUGAACAUGCACAAAAAAGGAAGAAAUCCUCAAGCGACGCCAUAUUAUCAAAACCAUAAAUUCAUAUAAUAUGUUCUAUCGAUGCUCGACAACUGUAUCCAGCAUGGAGAAGAUGCUGAUGUAAAGAUAGGAGAUUUUGAUUCAGAGGAUGAUGAAUAGGCUUCAGAGGCAGUUGAGCUUCAAUCAAGAAGAAAAAACUUCAAGGACAUAAAUCUCUUGUGAAAGGAAUCCUGCUGAUAAUUUCGACAACCCGUGGAGAGUUGUCACCUUUGCACACUCGAACUUGUGCUUAGGGGGCAUAUGUGCCAAAGGUCAACGGAACAUAGAUGGGGAUUGAGACUAGUUAACUUGUGAGGAACUCCAUUAUCUUUAGAGUUUAUUGCGGAUAACCGCCCUGUAUUUGCUUGUACAUCCUAACUAUCUUAUUAGUACGUACAUCCAUAUAGAUAUCGUUAUUUGUUCCCCACAAAAAUUGUAU